CCUGGUCGAACAUUUGUAGGGUACCAAUGACGCCCAUCGUCACGACGGCAAAGGUCACCGGCCUGAGCGCCGGCACGGUUA
rnacentral:sRNA from 1 species